GCCGAUUUGGCUCAAUGGAUAGAGCAUCAGCCUGCAGACUGAAAGGCCCCAGGUUCAAUUCUGGUCAAGGGCA